GCCUGACCCCAUGCCGAACUCAGAAGUGAAACGCCGUAGCGCCGAUGGUAGUGUGGGGUCUCCCCAUGUGAGAGUAGGGAACUGCCAGGCA
rnacentral:rRNA from 1 species